AGAUUUUCGAAUCUGUGCUGAGAUUUCGUCCGAUACCAACCCAUUAAGGCUGACUAAACUUUCAAGAUAAGUGAAGCU
rnacentral:pre_miRNA from 1 species